rnacentral:lncRNA from 1 species
GAAAGAUCUCCCAUGCUCAUGGAUUGGCAGGAUUAAUUUAGUAAAAAUGGCCAUUUUACCAAAAGCAAUCUACAGAUUCAAUGCAAUCCCCAUCAAAAUACCAAUCCAAUUCUUCAAAGAGUUAGACAGAACAAUUUGCAAAUUCAUCUGGAAUAACAAAAAACCCAGGAUAGCUAAAGCUAUCCUCAACAAUAAAAGGACUUCAGGGGGAAUCACUAUCCCUGAACUCAAACAGUAUUACAGAGCAAUAGUGAUAAAAACUGCAUGGUAUUGGUACAGAGACAGACAGAUAGACCAAUGGAAUAGAAUUGAAGACCCAGAAAUG